rnacentral:lncRNA from 1 species
UUCGAAUUUUUCUCUGCCUUGCAAGCGAGCGGCGGUAGCAGCAGCCCAUCGGCAGACACAACAGCUAGCACCACUCCACGCAAAGCAUGCAAGCACUUGUAAAACCUUUCUGACCACACGAAACGUGUAGAGCCAAAAAGGUGGAUGCAUGCAUGCACACGCAUACACCAUGCAUGCUACAGGAAGGAGUGUUUUUAUGUCAUGCAAGCAAGCUCUUUUUUUUCUUUCCAUACGCUUUUUAAGUACUAACUUUUCAUGAGUACCAAAAAUAAAUUAAGCACUUAAGUUAGCAUAUCACAAAUAUUUUCUUAGGAUUUUUCAUGCAAUUUCACCACAUCACUAAGCGCAAGAAAUAUAUGCAAAUGAGACUCAACUUAGUGGCACUAAAUAACCAUUGCA